rnacentral:rRNA from 1 species
UACAGAGGUCUCAAGCGUUGUUCGGAUUCAUUGGGCGUAAAGGGUGCGUAGGCGGCGCGGUAAGUCGGGUGUGAAAUCUUGGAGCUUAACUCCGAAACUGGCAUUCGAUACUGCCGUGCUUGAGGACUGGAGAGGAGACGUGGAAUUACGGUGUAGCGGUGAAAUGCGUAGAUAUCGUAAGGAAGACCAGUGGCGAAGGCGGGUCUCUGGA